rnacentral:rRNA from 1 species
GACGAACGCUGGCGGCGUGCUUAACACAUGCAAGUCGAAAGGUGAAGCCCCAGCUUGCUGGAGUGGAUCAGUGGCGAACGGGUGAGUAACACGUGAGCAACCUGCCCCUGACUCUGGAAUAAGCGCUGGAAACGGCGGCUAAUACUGGAUACGAGAAGGGUCCGCAUGGGCACUUUCUGGAAAGUUUUGCGGUUGGGGAUGGGCUCGCGGCCUAUCAGCUUGUUGGUGAGGUAGUGGCUCACCAAGGCGACGACGGGUAGCCGGCCUGAGGGGGCGACCGGCCACACUGGGACUGAGACACGGCCCAGACUCCUACGGGAGGCAGCAGUGGGGAAUAUUGCACAAUGGGCGGAAGCCUGAUGCAGCGACGCCGCGUGAGGGAUGACGGCCUUCGGGUUGUAAACCGCUUUCGGCAGGGAAGAAGCGAGAGUGACGGUACCUGCAGAAGAAGCACCGGCUAACUACGUG